rnacentral:rRNA from 1 species
ACUAAAUAGAUACCCUGGUAGUCCACGCCGUAAACGUUGUGCGCUAGGUGUAGGAGGUAUCGACCCCUCCUGUGCCGGAGCUAAACGCAUUAAGCGCACCGCCUGGGGAGUACGCCCGCAAGGGUGAAACUCAAAGGAAUUGACGGGGGCCCGCACAAGCGGUGGAGCAUGUGGUUUAAAAUUCGAGGCAACGCGAAGAACCUUACCCAGGCUUGACAUCCCGCGCUACCCUGUGAAAGCAGGGGUUCUCCUUCGGGGGUACGCGGAGACAGGUGUUGCAUGGCUGUCGUCAGCUCGUGUCGUGAGAUGUUGGGUUAAGUCCCGCAACGAGCGCAACCCCGUGUUCCCAGUUACCAGCGGUUCGGCCGGGCACUCUGGGAAGACUGCCGGUGAUAAGCCGGAGGAAGGUGGGGAUGACGUCAAGUCAUCACGGCCCUUACGCCUGGGGCGACACACGUGCUACAAUGG